rnacentral:rRNA from 1 species
UACGUAGGGUGCAAGCGUUAUUCGGAAUUACUGGGCGUAAAGCGUGCGCAGGCGGUUAUGUAAGUCAGUUGUGAAAUCCCCGGGCUCAACCUGGGAACUGCAUCUGUGACUGCAUCGCUGGAGUGCGGCAGAGGGGGAUGGAAUUCCGCGUGUAGCAGUGAAAUGCGUAGAUAUGCGGAGGAACACCGAUGGCGAAGGCAAUCCCCUGGGCCUGCACUGACGCUCAUGCACGAAAGCGUGGGGAGCAAACAGG